rnacentral:rRNA from 1 species
UGGGGGAUAUUGCACAAUGGGCGAAAGCCUGAUGCAGCGACGCCGCUUGGGGGAUGAAGGCUUUCGGGUUGUAAACCUCUUUCGCUAUCGAACAAGGCCCGCUUAGGGUGGGUUGAGGGUAGGUGGAGAAGAAGCGCCGGCUAACUACGUGCCAGCAGCCGCGGUAAUACGUAGGGCGCGAGCGUUGUCCGGAAUUAUUGGGCGUAAAGGGCUUGUAGGCGGCUUGUUGCGCCUGCUGUGAAAACGCGGGGCUUAACUUCGCGCGUGCAGUGGGUACGGGCAGGCUUGAGUGUGGUAGGGGUGACUGGAAUUCCAGGUGUAGCGGUGGAAUGCGCAGAUAUCUGGAGGAACACCGAUGGCGAAGGCAGGUCACUGGGCCAUUACUGACGCUGAGGAGCGAAAGCAUGGGUAGCGAACAGG